rnacentral:rRNA from 1 species
GACGAACGCUGGCGGCGUGCCUAAUACAUGCAAGUUGAGCGAUGAAGAUUGGUGCUUGCCCCAAUUUGAAGAGCAGCGAACGGGUGAGUAACGCGUGGGGAAUCUGCCUUUGAGCGGGGGACAACAUUUGGAAACGAAUGCUAAUACCGCAUAACAACUUUAAACAUAAGUUUUAAGUUUGAAAGAUGCAAUUGCAUCACUCAAAGAUGAUCCCGCGUUGUAUUAGCUAGUUGGUGAGGUAAAGGCUCACCAAGGCGAUGAUACAUAGCCGACCUGAGAGGGUGAUCGGCCACAUUGGGACUGAGACACGGCCCAAACUCCUACGGGAGGCAGCAGUAGGGAAUCUUCGGCAAUGGACGAAAGUCUGACCGAGCAACGCCGCGGGAGUGAAGAAGGGUGUCGGAUCGUAAAACUCGGUUGGUAGAGAAGAACGUUGGUGAGAGUGGAAAGCUCAUCAAGUGACGGUAACUACCCAGAAAGGGACGGCUAACUACGUG